rnacentral:lncRNA from 1 species
CUUCAUCGAAGAAGAAGAAAUGUACUAGACAUAAUCUGGAGUGUAGCCACCUGCUAGCGGGCAUAAAACUUAGUACAAAUAUUUCACAAACAUUUGCCAUCAAUCAACAAAACACUCCUACACUUGAAACCAAGACCCAGUGGAAAGACUCCCACCCUGAACCACAUGCCAUACAGCAGCAGCGCUGUUUGUUAAUUUUGCAUCUUUAAAAUUAAAACAGCGGUGAUAUCAAACAAAUACUCUAGGAGUAUCUACACAAAAUACUCUACAACUUCAGUAUUCAAUGGAUGAUUAAAUUCUGCCAUCUACAAGUUCUAAAACAUCUCACAAGAUAACUGACUGAAUCUGUUUUAGACAACAGUAUGGUUCACUUUAAAAUUCGAUAUCUCCCAAACUACUGAACCAAAAAUUAUUAAAUUCUGCUGGAAAUAAGAACUUGUAUCCCUCUACAAAAGUCUCCAUAGUUGGAAGAGCCAAUUCGGCCAUUUACUAGAUGAAACCCACCAGUGAACAGACUCACUCAUUUUUGUCAGGCAAACAGGAACAGCCACAGUAAAACAAACAUAACUGGAGUUUCACAAAUCAUAUGAAUGCACUCUUUAACAAUCUGGAAAGCUUAUGAAAUUAUCUAUAACUUCUUUUACCAACCCACAGUUUAAUUCUGUUGAUAAAAUUGCCUAACUCUUAAGAGAACAGAUUCUGCACAGAAUUAUGAGACUGAAAAACUGCUAUAAUCAAACUGUCAUAACUUUCUGUUCUGAUGUCCGAUUGAGGUGUUCUUCGCGGCCACGGAAAGAUCUACAAAUUAUCUACGACUCAUAUAUAGACUUUUUAUUUUUAUGAGGCCACUAAGAUCACGGAAAACUGGUAUGAACAGAAACUGUCGAAUCUGCCAUGCUGCAGAAAACUAAAUUCGAGAUCAAAACCUAACCUCACAUCUAAUACAACCUCUAAUCCUUUAAUCCCCAUGAUCCACCACCUCCAAAAGCACAUAAUUACAGGGAGGAACAAGGAUCCCAUCAUACCUAGGGUUUCCCCAAGAAAAUAUGCAAGAAGAGAUGGGGAAGAACACCUCCUUGAUCCUCUCUUCCUCUUCAAUUCAACGUGCUCCUCCUCUUCUCGAUCCUUGCUGCGUAGGGGGAGAUCUUGGGGGAGGAAGCAAUGGAGGAUGGCUGCCAUAGGGGGAGGGGGCGGCCAGCCAAGGGGGAGAAAGGGGGUGGCGGCCAAGAGGGGGGGUGAAGGGAAAAAAAGGGGUGGCCACCUAGGGUUUUUUGUGGGAGAAAGAAACGACGCCUUAGAUGACUUCUAUCUUUGCAUCCAAUGGCCCACAACCCUUUACCUCAUCCACGCACCAAAGAUUAACUUUUGGUCAACAUUUUUUUUGGGAUAUUACAGGUACAGUAACCUGAAACGGAUCAGGACGCCAACUCAACUCGCCGCCGAUGAUCCCCGCCGCGAUUCGUGCCGCCGCCGUCCUGAUUCGUGCCCGGUGAGGAACGGAUAACGCCGGGGAUGGAUAACUCGUACGUGGCGCCAUCUCCCGAGUCCAGCCGGAGUUCUUCACCGGCGGCCACCUUGACUCGGUAACUUUCGCCGCGGUGUCACUCAUUCCACGAUCUGCCUCAUUGUGCCUCCUACCGACGUGGUAUGCAUGCGCUAGCAAUGCUAUCCGUGGCCGGAGAUCGUCUGUCGGGUCGCCGUGGCUAUAAAUAGCAUGGUGGUCCACGGCGAGGUGUGACCAUCACACACACAGUGAGUUGAAUCGAAGCCGAAUUCGCG